GUCUAUUUGAGUAGUGCAAUGAAGUCGACUUAACAAGAAAAAAGAAAGAAAAAAAAAAUAAAUAAAAUUAUUUGUGACACAAAAAAACAUUCAAAAAAUAUCAAAAUAAUUGAAAUAAACUGCUUGUAGUCAUGGUACACAUGACCGUUUGGUUCAAAAAGGAACCGUAGAACAUUGCACUAGUUUUCGUUAGCAGAGCGAGAGAGAGUGAAAAAAAAAGUGAAUCGCAUCGCGUCAAGUAGUCUUCGUUGCACGUCAAUCACUUUGUAGCUUCAUGAUCUCACACUUUGAACGCGUAAUUAUGGGAUGCGCUUCAACCCUAAACAAGCAGAUGACCACAAAUGGCAAUAAUCAGCUCCCCUCUGGCGACAUGUCCGCCCUUUCCGAUGGCGCAUCAUCGGAAAUUUUGUGCAACGGCAGGGGGGAGUGCGACAACGGAACCUGCAUUUGCGAAAUUCGGUACAGCGGCGACGAGUGCAGGGCCUUUAAUUUGCCCUAUCACGCGGGCGUUUCGUCCGUUUUUUAUUGCGUCGCGCUCUUCUCCCUCAUACAACUGCUGAUUUGUAUUGUGGCAGAGUACCAGCGCCUCAAGCGACCCUCCAUCGUGCGAGCAUGCAGACUUACAGCACAAAAACUCUUGUAUUUUAUUGUCUUCUUGGCGGCAUUGCUGAGGGGCGCCUAUUUUACGACACCUGAGACUUUACAACCAAGUUGGACGGCUUAUUUUAUGUCAGCCUACUACCCAUUACUCAUGACUUGUGCAUCGCUCGUCGUUUGUCUAUGGGCUGAGGUAAGUUUCAACCAUUUUCUUUCAAUUUUUUACCUUUAAAGGCAUCAUAAAUGGAAAUUUUCGCGAUUUUCUCAACCCAAAAGCUCAUAAAACGAAAGAACAAAAGGAAUAAAAAAAAAACAAAAACAUUUUUUAGCGGUCAAAAAAUCGAUUUUGAUUGACCUUGUGCGAAAAAGUGAAAAUAAAAUAGCCACUAAUGUUCAUUUUCCCCUUAAAAUUCAUCAAAACAUAAUUUUGAACAUUUUUACCGACCUCAGACAAUAUUUGAGUGACUUCAAAAAGUGUCAAAAACCUUGUCCUUCAAUAAAACCUACGACUUAUCUUAUCAAUUUACCAGAAAUUGGCCACAACUCUAUCGCCAAACUAUUUCGACACAGACAAAACAAUUGAAAAUAAUCAAAUUCAUAGACACAUCGUUGUUUCACUCAUAAAAAGUAACUAUUUUCAUAACAACUACCUGCUUCCGUUGACAGUUUUUAUGACUUCAUCGUGCUUCGCGGAGGUAUUUCCAUUCCAAAAAAUUUCAAAUUUAACAAAAUUUG